UCCCCUGUAGCUCAGUUGGUAGAGCAGCUGACUGUUAAUCAGCGGGUCGCUAGUUCGAGUCUAGCCGGGGGAG
rnacentral:tRNA from 1 species